AGACCCUAAAGGUAUGCGCGCACGGGCAACUUAGUUGGUCGGCGAUUUAUUUGUCUCUUGAUGAAGUCUAGGAGCUAGUAUGAAAGUGCGCGCACGUAGCGACGCAACUCUGUGCUACUUUUUUA